rnacentral:rRNA from 1 species
UGGGGAAUCUUCCACAAUGGGCGAAAGCCUGAUGGAGCAACGCCGCGUGAGUGAAGAAGGUCUUCGGAUCGUAAAGCUCUGUUGCACAGGACGAAAACCGGGUUUGAAAACAUUGAGCCUGGGUGACGGUACUGUGCGAGGAAGCCACGGCUAACUACGUGCCAGCAGCCGCGGUAAUACGUAGGUGGCGAGCGUUGUCCGGAAUUAUUGGGCGUAAAGGGAGCGCAGGCGGGCAUAUCAGUCCAUCUUAAAAGUGCGGGGCUCAACCCCGUGAGGGGAUGGAAACUGUAUGUCUUGAGUGCAGGAGAGGAAAGCGGAAUUCCCAGUGUAGCGGUGAAAUGCGUAGAUAUUGGGAGGAACACCAGUGGCGAAGGCGGCUUUCUGGACUGUAACUGACGCUGAGGCUUGAAAGCCAGGGGAGCGAACGGGAUUAGAUACCCCGGUAGUCCUGGCCGUAAACGAUGAAUGCUAGGUGUAGGAGGUAUCGACCCCUCCUGUGCCGGAGUUAACGCAAUAAGCAUUCCGCCUGGGGAGUACGGUCGCAAGACUG